rnacentral:rRNA from 1 species
UUAGAGUUUGAUCCUGGCUCAGAUUGAACGCUGGCGGCAUGCCUUACACAUGCAAGUCGAACGGCAGCGCGGGGCAACCUGGCGGCGAGUGGCGAACGGGUGAGUAAUAUAUCGGAACGUACCCUGGAGUGGGGGAUAACGUAGCGAAAGUUACGCUAAUACCGCAUACGAUCUACGGAUGAAAGUGGGGGAUUCGCAAGAACCUCAUGCUCGUGGAGCGGCCGAUAUCUGAUUAGCUAGUUGGUAGGGUAAAAGCCUACCAAGGCAUCGAUCAGUAGCUGGUCUGAGAGGACGACCAGCCACACUGGGACUGAGACACGGCCCAGACUCCUACGGGAGGCAGCAGUGGGGAAUUUUGGACAAUGGGCGCAAGCCUGAUCCAGCAAUGCCGCGUGAGUGAAGAAGGCCUUCGGGUUGUAAAGCUCUUUUGUCAGGGAAGAAACGGUGGGAGCUAAUAUCUCCCACUAAUGACGGUACCUGAAGAAUAAGCACCGGCUAACUACGCGCCAGCAGCCGCGGUAAUACGUAGGGUGCAAGCGUUAAUCGGAAUUACUGGGCGUAAAGCGUGCGCAGGCGGUUUUGUAAGUCUGAUGUGAAAUA